rnacentral:rRNA from 1 species
CAGCCGCCGCGGGAAAACGGAGGGUGCAAGCGUUAAUCGGAAUUACUGGGCGUAAAGCGCACGCAGGCGGUCUGUCAAGUCAGAUGUGAAAUCCCCGGGCUUAACCUGGGAACUGCAUUUGAAACUGGCAGGCUAGAGUCUUGUAGAGGGGGGUAGAAUUCCAGGUGUAGCGGUGAAAUGCGUAGAGAUCUGGAGGAAUACCGGUGGCGAAGGCGGCCCCCUGGACAAAGACUGACGCUCAGGUGCGAAAGCGUGGGGAGCAAACAGGAUUAGAUACCCGUGUAGUCCCUGUCUCUUAUAA